AAAAACAUCGCCUCUNUGAUUACCNAUAAGAGGUCUAGCCUGCCCAGUGAUCAAUUUAACGGCCGCGGUACCCUAACCGUGCGAAGGUAGCAUAAUCACUUGUUUCUUAAAUAGGGACUAGUAUCAAUGGCAUCACGAAGAUUACACUGUCUCCCCUUUAAAAUCAAUGAAACUGAUCCCCUCGUGAAGAAGCGAGGAUAAAAAUAUAAGACGAGAAGACCCCAUGGAGCUUUAAACGAANCCUCAACUGCUCCCCUCCNNNUUAUCACAGAAANCUGAGCACUAAUGAUGGGUAGUUUUCGGUUGGGGUGACCGCGGAGUAAAACAAAACCUCCACAAUGAAUGUAAUAAAAUACUAAUAAAAGAACCACAAUUCUAAUAAUCAAAAAUUUGACAUAAAUUGACCCAAACACUUGAUCAAUGAACCAAGUUACCCUGGGGAUAACAGCGCAAUCCAUUUUAAGAGCCCUUAUCGACAAAUGGGUUUACGACCUCGAUGUUGGAUCAGGGUAUCCCAGUGGUGCAGCCNNGCUACUAAUGNGUUCGNUUUGUUCAACGAUUAAAACCCUA
rnacentral:rRNA from 1 species